GAGGCAUAGCUCAGUUGGUCAGAGCGUACGGUUCACAUCCGUAAGGUCGCGGGUUCGAGCCCCUCUGUCUCC
rnacentral:tRNA from 1 species